rnacentral:rRNA from 1 species
UACGUAGGGUGCGAGCGUUGUCCGGAAUUAUUGGGCGUAAAGGGCUCGUAGGCGGUUUGUCGCGUCGGGAGUGAAAACCAGGUGCUUAACACCUGGCUUGCUUUCGAUACGGGCAGACUAGAGGCAUGCAGGGGAGAACGGAAUUCCUGGUGUAGCGGUGAAAUGCGCAGAUAUCAGGAGGAACACCAAUGGCGAAGGCAGAUCUCUGGGCCGUAACUGACGCUGAGGAGCGAAAGCAUGGGGAGCGAACAGG